rnacentral:rRNA from 1 species
UACGAAGGGGGCUAGCGUUGCUCGGAAUCACUGGGCGUAAAGGGUGCGUAGGCGGGUCUUUAAGUCAGGGGUGAAAUCCUGGAGCUCAACUCCAGAACUGCCUUUGAUACUGAAGAUCUUGAGUUCGGGAGAGGUGAGUGGAACUGCGAGUGUAGAGGUGAAAAUUCGUAGAUAUUCGCAAGAACACCAGUGGCGAAGGCGGCUCACUGGCCCGUACUGACGCUGAGGUGCGAAAGCGUGGGGAGCAAACAGGG